UUUAAAUUGAGAGUUUGAUCCUGGCUCAGGACGAACGCUGGCGGCGUGCCUAACACAUGCAAGUCGAGCGAUGAAACCCUUCGGGGUGGAUUAGCGGCGGACGGGUGAGUAACACGUGGGUAACCU
rnacentral:rRNA from 1 species